rfam:Gorilla gorilla gorilla genomic chromosome, chrX, whole genome shotgun sequence
GGAUGUGAGGGUGAUCUGGCUGUGACAUCUGUCACCCCAUUGCUCACCUGGGUUGAUUUGGCUGAUCUGGCUGGCUAGGCAGAUGUCCCCUUCCUCCCUCACUGCUCCAUGUGUGUCCCUCCUGAAGCUGCGCGCUCUUGUGGAGAGGACGACCAUCCCCGAUAGAGGAGGACUUACCUUCAGUCAAGGGUAUAUUAGCUGUGCUCCCCUGCUAGAACCUCCAAACAAGCUCUCAAAACAGUAUAUGAGAUGUGUGUAUACUUUAAAAGUAUUAGUCAUUUAUCUGACAUUCAAAUUUAUCUGAGAAUCCUUUACUGUU